rnacentral:rRNA from 1 species
AGUGAACGCUGGCGGUAGGCCCAACACAUGCAAGUCGAACGGCAGCACAGUAAGAGCUUGCUCUUACGGGUGGCGAGUGGCGGACGGGUGAGGAAUACAUCGGAAUCUACUUUUUCGUGGGGGAUAACGUAGGGAAACUUACGCUAAUACCGCAUACGACCUACGGGUGAAAGCAGGGGAUCUUCGGACCUUGCGCGAUCGAAUGAGCCGAUGUCGGAUUAGCUAGUUGGCGGGGUAAAGGCCCACCAAGGCGACGAUCCGUAGCUGGUCUGAGAGGAUGAUCAGCCACACUGGAACUGAGACACGGUCCAGACUCCUACGGGAGGCAGCAGUGGGGAAUAUUGGACAAUGGGCGCAAGCCUGAUCCAGCCAUACCGCGUGGGUGAAGAAGGCCUUCGGGUUGUAAAGCCCUUUUGUUGGGAAAGAAAAGCAGCAGGUUAAUACCCCGCUGUUCUGACGGUACCCAAAGAAUAAGCACCGGCUAACUUCGUG